rnacentral:rRNA from 1 species
UAGCCAUGCAUGUCUAAGUAUAAACUCGUUUGUACUGUGUGAAACUGCGAAUGGCUCAUUAAAUCAGUUAUAGUUUAUUUGAUAUAACCUUACUACUUGGAUAUCCGUGGUAAUUCUAGAGCUAAUACAUGCAAUUAAAAUCCUGACUUCUGGAAGGGAUGUAUUUAUUAGAUAAAAAACCAACCCGGCAACGGUUCUUUGGUGAUUCAUAGUAACUUUUCGAAUCGCAUGACUUUACGUCGGCGAUGGUUCAUUCAAAUUUCUGCCCUAUCAAGUUUCGAUGGUAGGAUAGAGGCCUACCAUGCUUUUUACGGGUAACGGCGAAUUAGGGUUCGAUUCCGGAGAGGGAGCCUGAGAAACGGCUACCACAUCUAAGGAAGGCAGCAGGCGCGCAAAUUACCCAAUCCUGAUUCAGGGAGGUAGUGACAAUAAAUAACAAUCCAGGGCUUUUGUCUUGGAAUUGGAAUGAGAACAAUUUAAAUCUCUUAACGAGGAACAAUUGGAGGGCAAGUCUGGUGCCAGCAGCCGCGGUAAUUCCAGCUCCAAUAGCGUAUAUUAAAGUUGUUGCAGUUAAAUAGCUCGUAGUUGAAUCUUGGGCCUGGUUUGGCGGUCGCGCUUUAGGGCGUGUACUGUCGGCCGGGUCUUUUACUUGCGGGGAACGUGCGUGCCUCUCGGGGUGUGUACGGGAACCGUGGCUAUUACUUUGAAAAAAUUAGAGUGUUUAAAGCAGGCGUAAGCUUGUAUACAUUAGCAUGGAAUAAUAGAAUAGGACUUUGGUUUUAUUUUGUUGGUUUCUAGGGCCGAAGUAAUGAUUAAUAGGGAUAGUUGGGGGCAUUAGUAUUUAAUAGUCAGAGGUGAAAUUCUUGGAUUUAUGAAAGACUAACUUCUGCGAAAGCAUUUGCCAAGGAUGUUUUCAUUAAUCAAGAACGAAAGUCAGGGGAUCGAAGAUGAUCAGAUACCGUCGUAGUCCUGACCGUAAACUAUGCCGACUAGGGAUCGGGCGUUGUAUUUCAUGACACGCUCGGCACCUUAUGAGAAAUCAAAGUCUUGGUAC